rnacentral:rRNA from 1 species
CCUACGGAGUGCAGCAGUGGGGAAUAUUGCACAAUGGGGGAAACCCUGAUGCAGCGACGCCGCGUGAGUGAAGAAGUAUCUCGGUACGUAAAGCUCUAUCAGCAGGGAAGAAAAUUACGGUACCUGACUAAGAAUCCCCGGCUAACUCCGUGCCAGCAGCCGCGGUCAUACGUAGGGGGCAAGCGUUAUCCGGAUUUACUGGGUGUAAAGGGUGCGUAGAGGGCAGCACAAGUCUGGAGUGAAAUCCCGGGGCUUAACCCCGGGACUGCUUUGGAAACUGUGGGGCUGGAGUGCAGGAGGGGUGAGCGGAAUUCCUAGUGUAGCGGUGAAAUGCGUAGAUAUUAGGAGGAACACCGGUGGCGAAGGCGGCUUGCUGGACUGUAACUGACGUUGAGGCUCGAAAGCGUGGGGAGCAAACAGGAUUAGAUACCCGAGUAGUC